CGGGUACUGCCCGGUGCGCGCCUUUUAUAUCCCUGAGGCGAUUAUACAUCCAUGGGAGCUGUCCCUUGUCGGGCCCUGGUCCGGCAAACACGGCGCCCACCUGACGUUAACGGCGUCAGAGGAUAUCCCGGCAAACGGCCAUGGCGGUCCCGUC
rnacentral:other from 1 species